AUUGAACGCUGGCGGCAGGCCUAACACAUGCAAGUCGAACGGUAACAGGAAGAAGCUUGCUUCUUUGCUGACGAGUGGCGGACGGGUGAGUAAUGUCUGGGAAACUGCCUGAUGGAGGGGGAUAACUACUGGAAACGGUAGCUAAUACCGCAUAACGUCGCAAGACCAAAGAGGGGGACCUUCGGGCCUCUUGCCAUCGGAUGUGCCCAGAUGGGAUUAGCUUGUUGGUGGGGUAACGGCUCACCAAGGCGACGAUCCCUAGCUGGUCUGAGAGGAUGACCAGCCAAACUGGAACUGAGACACGGCCCAGACUCCUACGGGAGGCAGCAGUGGGGAAUAUUGCACAAGGGGGGCAAGCCUGAUGCAGCCAUGCCGGGUGUAUGAAGAAGGCCUUCGGGUUGUAAAGUACUUUCAGGGGGGAGGAAGGGAGUAAAGUUAAAACCUUUGCUCAUUGACGUUACCCGCAGAAGAAGCACCGGCUAACUCCGU
rnacentral:rRNA from 1 species